GAUGAACGCUAGCUACAGGCUUAACACAUGCAAGUCGAGGGGAAACGACAUCGAAAGCUUGCUUUUGAUGGGCGUCGACCGGCGCACGGGUGAGUAACGCGUAUCCAACCUGCCCACCACUUGGGGAUAACCUUGCGAAAGUAAGACUAAUACCCAAUGACGUCUCUAGAAGACAUCUGAAGGAGAUUAAAGAUUUAUCGGUGAUGGAUGGGGAUGCGUCUGAUUAGCUUGUUGGCGGGGUAACGGCCCACCAAGGCAACGAUCAGUAGGGGUUCUGAGAGGAAGGUCCCCCACAUUGGAACUGAGACACGGUCCAAACUCCUACGGGAGGCAGCAGUGAGGAAUAUUGGUCAAUGGACGAGAGUCUGAACCAGCCAAGUAGCGUGCAGGAUGACGGCCCUAUGGGUUGUAAACUGCUUUUAUAAGGGAAUAAAGUGAGUCUCGUGAGACUUUUUGCAUGUACCUUAUGAAUAAGGACCGGCUAAUUCCGUGCCAGCAGCCGCGGUAAUACGGAAGGUCCGGGCGUUAUCCGGAUUUAUUGGGUUUAAAGGGAGCGUAGGCCGGAGAUUAAGCGUGUUGUGAAAUGUAGAUGCUCAACAUCUGCACUGCAGCGCGAACUGGUUUCCUUGAGUACGCACAAAGUGGGCGGAAUUCGUGGUGUAGCGGUGAAAUGCUUAGAUAUCACGAAGAACUCCGAUUGCGAAGGCAGCUCACUGGAGCGCAACUGACGCUGAAGCUCGAAAGUGCGGGUAUCGAACAGGAUUAGAUACCCUGGUAGUCCGCACGGUAAACGAUGGAUGCCCGCUGUUGGUCUGAAUAGGUCAGCGGCCAAGCGAAAGCAUUAAGCAUCCCACCUGGGGAGUACGCCGGCAACGGUGAAACUCAAAGGAAUUGACGGAAGGG
rnacentral:rRNA from 1 species